CUUGAUAUGGAGGAGAAAAAAAUAUUCACCAACCCAGAAAUCACUGCAGCGCUUGAGAACAUGAGACAAGCCAACCUUGAUGACAUGAUGCCUCUUCUACAAGUUGAAGCACCAGUCAGUGCACUGAUUGCAGUUGUGUACAGACCUCCAGACUACACUCUGAGGCCAUUCCUGAAAAACCUGUGCAAACAAACCAAUCCUGGAGCUGUUUGAGUCUAGGGGAUACGCACAGGUCAUCACUGCCCCUACCACAGAGAAGAACACACUGCUUGACCUAAUUUUCAUUUCUCAGCCAGAGCGAUGUCUCCAUUCUGGAGUCAUGAAGACCUACUAUAGUUACCAUGACCCUGUAUACUGUGUAUUGUCCUGUGAUGAUUCAUGAUCUAGAUCUUUG
ensembl:lncRNA